AACAUAGCCUUUAGCCACACAAGUAUUAAAGGUCCCGCCUGCCCAGUGAUAUAUUUUAACGGCCGCGGUAUUCUAACCGUGCAAAGGUAGCGUAAUCACUUGUCUUCUAAAUAAAGACCAGUAUGAACGGCUAAAUGAGGACAAACCUGUCUCCUACGACAAAUCAGUGAAACUGAUCUCCCAGUACAAAAGCUGGGAUAAACACAUAAGACGAGAAGACCCUGUGGAGCUUAUAAAUAAACGAUCAACGAAUCACAACCAAAACAAUAAUGAUCGUACAUUUUAAGUUGGGGCGACUUCGGAAAAAAACAAAACUUCCAAGAAAAAGGCCACCCAGCCCACCCUAAGGAACACAACCCUAAAGCAUGAACAUGAAUUGACCCAGUCAAACUGAUUAACGAACCAAGUUACCCCAGGGAUAACAGCGCCAUCUUCUUCAAGAGUCCAUAUCGACAAGAAGGUUUACGACCUCGAUGUUGGAUCAGGACACCCAAAUGGUGCAGCAGCUAUUAAAGGUUCGUUUGUUCAACGAUUAACAGUCCUACGUGAUCUGAGUUCAGACCGGAGUAAU
rnacentral:rRNA from 1 species